AUGUUCAGUUGGGGAGGCAGAGUGGCGCCCCAUACCGCGACUCCAAUCGGGAGGUUGCUGAAUCUGAGGGCCGAUUUCUCCUCGUGCUCCAAAUUGUUCGUCGGAGGUAUGUCCUAUGACACCAACGAGAUCGCUCUCAAGGAUGCAUUCUCUCAGCAUGGCGAUGUUGUCGAAGUGAAAGUGAUAUGUCACCCGGACCCGGUGACGGGUAGAUCCAAAGCUUACGGGUUCGUCAAGUUCUCUUCGGAAACGGAAGCAGCCACAACAUUGGAGAAGAUGAGCGAUGAGGUACUUGAUGGUAGGAGCAUACGGGUGCCCUACGCGAACCGCGGAUGA
rnacentral:rRNA from 1 species